CCGAGUUUUACAAACUCCCAAACCCCUGUGAACAUACCACUUGUUGCCUCGGCGGAUCAGCCCGCUCCCGGUAAAAAACGGGACGGCCCGCCAGAGGACCCCUAAACUCUGUUUCUAUAUGUAACUUCUGAGUAAAACCAUAAAUAAAUCAA
rnacentral:misc_RNA from 1 species